rnacentral:hammerhead_ribozyme from 1 species
AUGCGAAACUGCCGUCCGGGCAUUCCCCGGGCGGCGGUCGGCCGGACGUGGUGGCCCGGCCCUGACGAGCAGCCAGGA